AACCUGCGGAAGGAUCAUUAAUGAACUCUCGAUGGGGGAUGCGGUUGCUGCUGGACUUCCUUGCAAGUCAACGUGCACACCCAUCUUCCUUCCCGUUCGACCAAUCUAUCCCCAUCUGUGCACCUCUCGUGAGCCGAGAACUCUCUCGGCUUAUGUGCUUUCCACAACRCAUCUCAUUAUAUGAAUGAAUGAGCAGCCGUCCGAGCUUGRACUCGACGCUAACAGUAACACACAACUUUCAACAACGGAUCUCUUGGCUCUCGCAUCGAUGAAGAACGCAGCGAAAUGCGAUAAGUAAUGUGAAUUGCAGAAUUCAGUGAAUCAUCGAAUCUUUGAACGCACCUUGCGCCCCUUGGUACUCCGGGGGGCAUGCCUGUUUGAGUGUCAUCAGACCAUCAACCCGAGCGGUUCUUGAGCCAAUCGGAAUUUGGAGUUUGCGGCGUGCGGGGAAGGGCUCUCGCGGGCCUCCGCUCCUCGCGGAAUGCAUCAGCGGACGUCCACCUGCGGGACCGUGCUUGGCGUGAUAGACAUCUACGUCUCGGCUCGGGCCUGCGUCUGUUGGCUCCGCUUCGAAUUGUCGCGCGCGACAAAGCUAUUGACGACCUGACCUCAAAUCA
rnacentral:rRNA from 1 species